CACGUAGGGCGCAAGCGUUGUCCGGAAUUAUUGGGCGUAAAGAGCUCGUAGGCGGUCUGUUGCGUCCGCUGUGAAAACUCGGGGCUUAACCCCGAGCCUGCAGUGGAUACGGGCAGACUAGAGGUAGGUAGGGGAGAAUGGAAUUCCCGGUGUAGCGGUGAAAUGCGCAGAUAUCGGGAAGAACACCCGUGGCGAAGGCGGCUCUCUGGGACGGUACCGACGCUGAGACGCGAAAGCGUGGGGAGCGAACAGG
rnacentral:rRNA from 1 species